UCAGUGUUCACAAAGCUUAGAUGCGAAAACCUGCAGCAGAUUUUUACAGAUCGCACUGUCUCAUCGGUUUUUUUUAUUGCUGUUUUUUACACAGAUGAAUAGCACCUAUUUAGAUCGCAUGUUUGAAAACAGCUAUUAACUUUUCGUAACAGAACAUUUCUGGGAUUGUUUGCUACUUGGGAUUUACAGUUGUACAUCAAACUCCAAAUGAUAAUCUGUUUGGUGAAUAUUCGCGUCAGGGAAUAGCAGCUGGAAAAGAGAAAUACAAUGGGGAAACUCCAGUCAAAACACGCAUGCAAGCGCAGAGAAAGUCCUGAAGGAGACAGUUUUGUUGUAAACGCGUACAUCACUCGGAGAGGUUUGGAGGAGUGUGACAAAUACAACGGAGUCGAGAACAGAAUCAGAGAUAGACAGAUGAUGGCACAUUUGACAUAAGGGUGCCUUCCUUAAGUGAUGCUGGUUUAUCCUGGCAAUCUUGGAACCACCUUCUGUCACAGUUGUGGGAGUUAAAAAUUAAAAAGGCCCACUUUCUUUGCAAACAAAGUGAUUUCAGAACAAAUUUCUAUAUUCAAAUAAUCUUUUGGACUGAACUUUGAGUACUACCCCUGCAUGCCCACAAAAACUUCUGUGAAUGUGCACCUGGCAUAUUUUGUGGAUUACUGUUUCUCCAAAAUGGCGCAGUCUUCAAAAGACUCAUCAUAUGUUGGUGUCACCAUUGGUAAAUAAAGCAAGUGUUAAUUAAAUCCUAAGGAACCAACAGGGAAUGUCAGAUAUAGUGAAAAGCAGUACAGUUUAGGAUAUGCUGUAUUUUCUCUUAAGCUUGUGGUUCAGGAACACUUCAAUUGCAUUUCAUCCAUCUCCUUCGUGCUAAAAGGGCACAAUUCAAACAGCAGCUGAAAGCUAUUACAGUUGAACAUGUACAGUACUGUGCAAAAGU